GAUUUAAUGAGUAUGGGGGAGGUAAAUGGUAGAAAUAGCAAUGUGAACUACAUUUCCCAUGACCCCCUUCAGUCAACAUGUUUGAAUACUCACAUCAGAGCAGCAUUUUCUUGUUCAAUGUGUUGUUGCUUCUCCUCCAUGGAUUUGACACAAGCUUCAAAAACAUCAACAAACAACUUUAAGAAGUUACCUGAGCAGUUUCCCAACCACCAUUAUGCUACAGCAUUGGCGCCACAGUCUGUGAGGCAUGUUACUUCAAGCAGCGUGAGCUUGUUAUCCCUAAAAGACAGAGGAAAAGAGCCCGACCGAGGAGAACCAGGGGUGUGGAGGAGACAAGACAAGGAAUUUCAAUGAAACCGACUGAAAUGCUGGAACAACAACACGGACAACCAAACGUCCUUUGGGAAGCAGAUCGCAUUUGGAUUGGGUUUUGUUCGGGCUGAGGUAAAAACAACACUAUGUCAUCAAGCACACUGCAUCAUGUCGCAUAUAAUACAAUUACGGCCCACUCAAUGCGUUUCCUAAUGCAAUGUAAAAUUUGUUUAGACAUCUCCC
rnacentral:lncRNA from 1 species